rnacentral:rRNA from 1 species
GUAAGGAAUAUUGCACAAUGGGGGGAACCCUGAUGCAGCAACGCCGCGUGGGCGAUGAAGGUCUUCGGAUCGUAAAGCCCUUUUCUGAGGGAAGAGGCAGGACGGUACCUCAGGAAUAAGUCUCGGCUAACUACGUGCCAGCAGCCGCGGUAAAACGUAGGAGGCUAGCGUUAUCCGGAUUUACUGGGCGUAAAGCGCGUGCAGGCGGUCAGUUAAGUUAGGCGUGAAAUCUCUCGGCUUAACUGGGAGGGGUCGCAUAAUACUGGCUGACUUGAGGGCAGGAGAGGGAAGCGGAAUUCCCGGUGUAGCGGUAAUAUGCGCAGAUAUCGGGAAGAACACCAGUGGCGAAGGCGGCUUUCUGGCCUGUUACUGACGCUAAGACGCGAAAGCUAGGGGAGCAAACGGGAUUAGAUACCCCGGUAGUCC